UACGGGGGGAGCAAGCGUUGUUCGGAUUUACUGGGCGUAAAGGGCGCGUAGGCGGCGCAACAAGUCACUUGUGAAAUCUCCGGGCUUAACCCGGAGCGGCCAAGUGAUACUGUCGUGCUAGAGUGCGGAAGGGGCUACUGGAAUUCCUGGUGUAGCGGUGAAAUGCGCAGAUAUCAGGAAGAACACCCGUGGCGAAGGCGGCUCUCUGGGACGGUACUGACGCUGAGACGCGAAAGCGUGGGGAGCGAACAGG
rnacentral:rRNA from 1 species